rnacentral:lncRNA from 1 species
UACAUCACGUAAGUUGUAAAUUGUUCAUCAAGUACCUCCCAUACUGCUGCUGCUACUCUCGAACUGACUAAGAAUGAAAUCUGAGAGGAGCUGUUACAACUACCAAGAAGGCAGUGGACUAUCAUUAGCACAUGGGCUAUCACCUGUAGGUCGUAGCCAUAUAUCAGGGGAGGUUUUUAGAGUUAAGACUUUAGUACUCAACUAGCUAGUAUAUUGCAUGUGCCUAUUGAAAAUGGUAACGUCACCGUGCUAAAACAACAACAAUUGAAAACAUGGAUUAUUUAACUAAAUAAUGAGCGAUGAGGACAGAGGCAUGAUUGUAAACAGAAAAAAUAAUUAUUCCAAUACAUGGGUUAUGCUUUUGGAAUUAGACAGAUAAACUAGAAAUACUCAGGCUCAAAGUUGAUACCUUUACCAAAGCAUUCUUUUUUUUGCACAUACAAAGUUUCUUUGUUCUUUACAUGUUAUAAACCCAUGUGCAAUGGUCCCAGAUCUUGUUAUAGUCGAGAAUUUGAGUAUUGGUUUACAGUAAUAUCAAUAUGGGAUUAGGAAUUCUAGCUAAUUUAAAAAGGUUGCACAGUUGCACAACAAAUAUAUGCACGAUGUCUUAUUAAGAUGUCAAAAUUUGAUGAUUAACAAUGGUACAUUCUGUCCACACAAAAGAAACA